GUUGGCUACGGUCGUUAAGGUCGAGAAUUGAAGACGACGCGUCGCGAGUUCGAAUCCUCGGCAUGAUAGCU